GGGUUGUGAGGUUAAGCGACUAAGCGUACACGGUGGAUGCCCUGGCAGUCAGAGGCGAUGAAGGGCGUGCUAAUCUGCGAUAAGCGCCGGUAAGGUGAUAUGAACCGUUAUAACCGGCGAUACCCGAAUGGGGAAACCCAGUGUGAUUCGUCACACUAUCAUUAACUGAAUCCAUAGGUUAAUGAGGCGAACCGGGGGAACUGAAACAUCUAAGUACCCCGAGGAAAAGAAAUCAACCGAGAUUCCCCCAGUAGCGGCGAGCGAACGGGGAGGAGCCCAGAGCCUGAAUCAGCAUGUGUGUUAGUGGAAGCGUCUGGAAAGGCGCGCGAUACAGGGUGACAGCCCCGUACACAAAAGCGUAUGUGCUGUGAGCUCGAUGAGUAGGGCGGGACACGUGGUAUCCUGUCUGAAUAUGGGGGGACCAUCCUCCAAGGCUAAAUACUCCUGACUGACCGAUAGUGAACCAGUACCGUGAGGGAAAGGCGAAAAGAACCCCGGCGAGGGGAGUGAAAAAGAACCUGAAACCGUGUACGUACAAGCAGUGGGAGCACCCUUUGGGGUGUGACUGCGUACCUUUUGUAUAAUGGGUCAGCGACUUAUAUUCUGUAGCAAGGUUAACCGAAUAGGGGAGCCGGAGGGAAACCGAGUCUUAAUUGG
rnacentral:rRNA from 1 species